CCCACCUACCUGAAAAUGUUCGCGGCCAGCCUCUUGGCCAUGUGCGCGGGAGCCGAAGUGGUGCACAGGUACUACCGGCCGGACCUGGCACUUUAGCAGGGAGCUGGAUCAGAAGUGGAGCAGCUGGGACUCAAAGCGUUGCACAUAUGGAAUGCCAACACCCGCUGUGCCACAACACUGGCCCUUACAUACAAUACCUGAAAUCCCACCGAAGCGUGGAGAACUCAGAACGGAGCUUUUGGGUCUGAAAGAGAGACAACAUAAACCUCAGACUUCUCAG